GGCCCCACAAUCCCCUUCUGGCUCCGGGGACGGGCGGGGCGGGGCGAGCGGGCGGAAAUAAUUUUCUGUUUGGUCGUCUCUGCCCCAGUCCCUUCGCCGCGGGACGCGCGAGACGGGAGAAGCCCCUGCCCGGGGGUACUGAUGCCCCAUUUACAGAGGGACAAGCCGGAUUUCGGAGAGGUGAAGUCACUCGCCGAAAGUCGCACCGCCAGGGUCUGCGUGACACCCUAAAGCAGUGUUCAGUUACCCCGGGGAGAGCGCGAUGAACUUGAACCACUUGUUGGCUGGUUCCUGCUCUUGCUCGUUUUUUGCGGAUCGACACAUAGUGGGCGCUCAGGAAAAUAAAUGUUGGAAGCUUGAGAUUGAACUUGACAGCUCGACCCUAGGUACCCGCCACGAAUCCAGCCCAGCCCGCGGGGCACCGGGUUUCUCCAGACCUCGCAGGGAACAUUUGCGGAUGGGCUGGUAGAGGAGGCUCGGACAUCCCAGUUCCGCACCCGCACUCGACCAACGCGUGGUAGCGGAACCCCUGUCGUAGCGAGGCACAGACUGGGUUCAAGUCCCGACUCUGCCGAUUUCAGCCUGAGUGACUUUGAGCGAGUCACUUUUUCCCGUCGAAACCUCAGUUGCUCCAUCCACAAAAUGGGAAAUAUGAACAGCCACCCUAAAACGGUGUGGGGAGGAUUAAACGAAACAACGUUCCCAAAACUCUAAACUUACAAAUGUUGUCUCCCGUCCAUCCCAUAAACUUAGGCGACAAACCUGGCGCAGGGUGACCUGAGACAAAGGCUUCCCGGCCCCUGUCUCCAAGUCGUCCAUCCCUGGGGCGUAGGCACGUUUUAGUGAGCCCUGUCCGGCGAAACCCGAAACUGCGGCCACCUUGGCAGCGGUGGGCCCCAAAAGGAAAUAUUCAAAUAUUCUGAAACUCGUGCAUGAUUUAGGACUGACAUUUUUACGUUUAAUUUUCUUGCAGUUUUAUUCUUGCUAGUAAAGGUAAUUCGUUAGAAACCCUUAA
rnacentral:lncRNA from 1 species